GACAGCGUGUAAUCAGGUGACCUGCAAUGCCUGUUUUGAACUGGGAAGGAUUUGACUUUGACUACACCCCCCCCCCCCCACCCGGUCCAGCCUAGAGUCCUGAGCAAAGCAGCACUCCCUCAUCAGGGAGAGGUGGCACAGCGGGGUCUAGAGCUCCAUAAGGCUGACUGCUUAGGGGCUGUGGGGGAAGGAAGUCUGCACUCUGUCCUGCUACAUAUGCCUCCCACCAUGCUGCCACCCCCUUCCCUCACAGCCCCUGUGGAAUUAGCAGCGGGAAGCCUGAAAAACAUCAGGAAGAGAAAUGCGGCUCACAGGUGACCAGCGACACCGGCAUGGUUUUGUGGUACCAGUGGGGGCCGUGUCAGUAUCACCCCUGGAGAAGAGCUAAGGGAAAGAAGUCCUCCCCCCUGGGGUGAACUGGGGACUGUGUUCGAUGUACACUUUGCCUCAAAGGAACACAUUGGCCAGCCCCUGGCACAUGAUCAUCUGAUCCAAAUAGGAGCUAUACUGGGGAAGUAAGCACUAUGACAAAUGUUGUCCAGAAGGGGGAUAACCGAGGCAUCAGAAUUCUGAGACCAGCAGCCACAGAAGAAUGAGCUCAUGGCGUCAGUGGUAGAAAUUGAAAGAACAUAUCUCAGGAUUCAACCCAGAAACACAAGAAAUUGAACCAGCUUGUGCUUGAAGGAAACAAAUAACCUCCUGUUGGUCCGAGAAGGGUGGAAAUGACUUAG